rnacentral:rRNA from 1 species
GACGAACGCUGGCGGCGUGCCUAAUACAUGCAAGUAGAACGCUGAAGGAGGAGCUUGCUUCUCUGGAUGAGUUGCGAACGGGUGAGUAACGCGUAGGUAACCUGCCUGGUAGCGGGGGAUAACUAUUGGAAACGAUAGCUAAUACCGCAUAACAGUAGAUAUCGCAUGAUAUCUACUUGAAAGGUGCAAUUGCAUCACUACCAGAUGGACCUGCGUUGUAUUAGCUAGUUGGUGAGGUAACGGCUCACCAAGGCGACGAUACAUAGCCGACCUGAGAGGGGGAUCGGCCAACCUGGGACUGAGACACGGCCCAGACUCCUACGGGAGGCAGCAGUAGGGAAUCUUCGGCAAUGGACGGAAGUCUGACCGAGCAACGCCGCGUGAGUGAAGAAGGUUUUCGGAUCGUAAAGCUCUGUUGUAAGAGAAGAACGAGUGUGAGAGUGGAAAGUUCACACUGUGACGGUAUCUUACCAGAAAGGGACGGCUAACUACGUG